rnacentral:lncRNA from 1 species
AUUUGAAAAAUUAAUAGUGGCAUUAUUUUUCAAGAAUAAAUAUAAAAAUAUAUUUUACUACCGUUUGGUUCGGGGUUAAGUAAAAACUUGUUAUUUCAGGAAUACAGUUAAGUUCAGGGUUAAGAUAGGAUUAGAGUAAUUUUAUGUUUGGUUGAGAAUUGAGUUUAGUCCAGAUAUAGAUAAAAUAAUAUUUGAUUGGAAUAGGUGGGAUAAGAAGGAUAAUGGAUAAAAUAGUAUUUUGUUUGGUUGGAAUAGCAAGGUGUGGUGGGGUGGGGUAGGGUGGAGCCUCCCAUAUUGAGUGUUUAGAAAUAACUUCGGGCUUAAGGGGUUAUUCCACCCCUCCGAACCAAACGGAUGCUCAGUGUUUGGUUAGGGGAUAGGGAUAGGAAUAGGCCCUUAUCCCCCUCUUUAUACUCAAAUGCUAAUUUUUUAUCCGAGAAUAGUAGUUCUCAGUUAUCCCCACCAACACCUUCAUUUUUUAUAUAAAACUAUUUAAAGUUAUUCUUAUUCCCGGGAACAAUCUAAUUUUCAUCCAAACACUAUUUUUCUUAUCCCCAUACUUGUACUUAUCAUUAUAAUAGCUAGUUCUUACUUAUAUCCGAACCAAACGGAUGCUUAAAGAAUAAUCAGAAUGCCGACACGUCAACAGAGUAC